UCAGGACGAACGCUGGCGGCGUGCCUAAUACAUGCAAGUCGAGCGGACAGAUGGGAGCUUGCUCCCUGAUGUCAGCGGCGGACGGGUGAGUAACACGUGGGUAACCUGCCUGUAAGACUGGGAUAACUCCGGGAAACCGGGGCUAAUACCGGAUGCUUGAUUGAACCGCAUGGUUCAAUUAUAAAAGGUGGCUUUUAGCUACCACUUACAGAUGGACCCGCGGCGCAUUAGCUAGUUGGUGAGGUAACGGCUCACCAAGGCAACGAUGCGUAGCCGACCUGAGAGGGUGAUCGGCCACACUGGGACUGAGACACGGCCCAGACUCCUACGGGAGGCAGCAGUAGGGAAUCUUCCGCAAUGGACGAAAGUCUGACGGAGCAACGCCGCGUGAGUGAUGAAGGUUUUCGGAUCGUAAAACUCUGUUGUUAGGGAAGAACAAGUACCGUUCGAAUAGGGCGGUACCUUGACGGUACCUAACCAGAAAGCCACGGCUAACUACGUGCCAGCAGCCGCGGUAAUACGUAGGUGGCAAGCGUUGUCCGGAAUUAUUGGGCGUAAAGCGCGCGCAGGCGGUUUCUUAAGUCUGAUGUGAAAGCCCCCGGCUCAACCGGGGAGGGUCAUUGGAAACUGGGGAACUUGAGUGCAGAAGAGGAGAGUGGAAUUCCACGUGUAGCGGUGAAAUGCGUAGAGAUGUGGAGGAACACCAGUGGCGAAGGCGACUCUCUGGUCUGUAACUGACGCUGAGGCGCGAAAGCGUGGGGAGCGAACAGGAUUAGAUACCCUGGUAGUCCACGCCGUAAACGAUGAGUGCUAAGUGUUAGAGGGUUUCCGCCCUUUAGUGCUGCAGCAAACGC
rnacentral:rRNA from 2 species